AUCCAUCCGACGAGUCUGAAAUAGGACGAAACGCAUGUCCUGGAU
rfam:Schistosoma haematobium scaffold156_23, whole genome shotgun sequence.